rnacentral:rRNA from 1 species
AUUGAACGCUGGCGGCAUGCUUUACACAUGCAAGUCGAACGGCAGCGCGGGCUUCGGCCUGGCGGCGAGUGGCGAACGGGUGAGUAAUGCAUCGGAACGUGCCCAGUAGUGGGGGAUAGCCCGGCGAAAGCCGGAUUAAUACCGCAUACGACCUGAGGGUGAAAGCGGGGGACCGAAAGGCCUCGCGCUAUUGGAGCGGCCGAUGUCGGAUUAGCUAGUUGGUGGGGUAAAGGCUUACCAAGGCGACGAUCCGUAGCUGGUCUGAGAGGACGACCAGCCGCACUGGGACUGAGACACGGCCCAGACUCCUACGGGAGGCAGCAGUGGGGAAUUUUGGACAAUGGGGGCAACCCUGAUCCAGCCAUGCCGCGUGCGAGAAGAAGGCCUUCGGGUUGUAAACCGCUUUUGUUCGGGAAGAAAUCCUCUGGGCUAAUACCCCGGGGGGAUGACGGUACCGGAAGAAUAAGCACCGGCUAACUACGUG